rnacentral:rRNA from 1 species
UACGAAGGUCCCAAGCGUUAUCCGGAUUUAUUGGGUUUAAAGGGUGCGUAGGCGGGUUAUUAAGUCAGUGGUGAAAGCUCCCAGCUCAACUGGGAAACUGCCAUUGAUACUGAUAGUCUUGAGUAUGAUUGAAGUGGGCGGAAUGUGUCAUGUAGCGGUGAAAUGCUUAGAUAUGACACAGAACACCGAUUGCGAAGGCAGCUCACUAAGCCAUAACUGACGCUGAUGCACGAAAAGCCGUGGGGGAGCAAACAGG